AAAGUUUAGGUGCUCUGGUCUACCAGUACAUCAUUUCUGCUCUGCCUUGUUUAAGUCCCAAUGUAGACUGCCUAGACUCCAUUUAGCCUUCUUUUCCAUAGGCUGUCCUGGUGACAAUAAUGAGAUGUAAGGAGUCUCUUCUAGAAAAAUAAAAACAUGGCUGCCUGUGUCUUUCAUAUUCUUGCGUCCAAGCCAUUAGAUGAUGUAGAGUGUAAAGUGCAUUGUUCUUUAAAAGAGCUCUAUGACCAAAGUGUGAUUGGACACGUAUUAUUAAUUAAUUAAUUAAUUAAUUAAUUAAUUGCAUUUGUUUAGCCCCCUUCAUCCGUAGAUCUCAGGAUGGUAUAAUGAAAACUGGAAGACAAUUGAGUUUUGUGGAGGUUUGGGAUAUAUCUUGCCCAUCUUACAAAUUCCUUAUGCAUCCCAGAAUUAUGUGUUGUGUUUGAUCUUGUGUGUGUGUGUUUGUAUAAAGCAAGGGGUACGGAACCUUUUUGAGCUUGAAGACCAUACUUGGGCAAUCUUCCAGGGGACACAUGACCAUGUUGAGCAGGCCCAGGGGCAAAAGUGGACGGAACAAGGGCAAAACAAAACAAAAAACCAAAAAAACCAAAAACUCACAUCUGCCUUCCACACAAUCUCAAAUAAGUUUCUAAAUUUGGUUUUCUUUGUGGAUUUCAUUAAGCAUUCGCCCUGCCACAGACACACAUAAUUUGAGAAUACGCAUACAGUAGCAUAGUGGUAAAUUCUGAAGGGCAGGUACACUUUAUGGCAACUCCCAUAGCUCUUCCCCUAAUAGCUAUGAUCCUUCUAAGGUAAAGGUAAAGGGACCCCUGACCAUUAGGUCCAGUCAUGGCCGACUCUGGGGUUGCAGCGCUCAUCUUGCUUUAUUGGCCGAGGGAGCCGGCGUACAGCUUCCGGGUCAUGUGGCCAGCAUGACUAAGCCGCUUCUGGCAAACCAGAGCAGCGCACGGAAAGGCCGUUUACCUUCCCGCUGGAGCAGUACCUAUUUAUCUACUUGCACUUUCACGUGCUUUUGAACUGCUAGGUUGGCAGGAGCAGGGACCGAGCAACGGAAGCUCACUCCGUCGCAGGGAUUCGAACUGCCGACCUUCUGAUCAGCAAGUGCUAGGCUCUGUGGUUUAACCCCAGCACCACCCGCGUCCCUUCUAAAACUAUACAGCAAAAAUGUUUUUGGUUUUUUUACUAAUGAUGAAAUUAUAGUCCUGAUAGCAAACCAGCUUUUUUCACCACCCCUCCCCCUUGCUUAAUGAUCAGUCUGAUCAAAUAGCUUGCACACUGUUUUGUGACAUUAACUACUCAGCUUAACACCAAGGUUGCAGGUCUGAUCCCCAUAUGGGACAGCUGCAUAUUCCUGCAUUGCGGGGGGUUUGGAGUAGAUGUUCUUCAAGGUUCCUUCCGACUCCUGUGAUUCUAUUAUCUUUUAUAUGCUUUCAGCUCUCUGUGUUCUAUCAGUGUUUGUUUUAAUUUUUGUGAGCCACCUUGAGUCCUGGUUGUGGGAGAUAGGCGGGAUCUAAAUAAAUGAACAAGUAAGUACUGUAGUAAGUUAGUACCGUAAGUGGAAGUGCUUUGUCCCUCCUAAUCUACUGUAUCACUGGCUGAUGAUACAGAAGCAUCAGAAAUAGUCUUAUUCCAAUUCAGUUUGAGGCCUCUAGAAAUACAUGGCUGCAAUUUCCUCUCUGAUCGCUAGAUGUCCUCUUUCUUCUUCACAAUGCAACUUCUGCUCCUGUAGAAAGCUUGGUUCUUUAGACAGCAAUCAUGGCAGCUGUAGCUGAAUGAUUUGCAUGAGGUAAAUCACGCCAGGCCUACAAACGGUAAGCUCAGGUUCAAAUCCCUGCUGAGCCAUGAAGCUUGCAAGUACAAGGUGGCCUCGGCAAGGCACAUUUAAAUCUACCUUGCAUGGUUGCUGUUGGGCUGAAGUGCUCCUCUGAGCAACUUGGAAGAAAGAUAGGAUAUGCAUGCAACAAAUGAAAUAAGCAAAUGAUUGGGUUGUUUCCAAGAGGAAACAAUUCUCUGACCCCAUUUACCAGUGCUAACAUAGUGCUCCUGAAACUAACUUAAAAUAUGUACAGGAACUGGUGCUUGACAAGUGUCCCCAUCCACAUACCUUCUAAUUAUUUUGAGCAUUAAAUGCUAGCUCCCUUCUCUGCCAAGUCACAAGGCUGUUAGUGCUGCUGUUCAUGUAGCUUGUGGUUCUAGCAAUGUAAGGAGAAUCGGAUGACUAUUUGUGAGCUUUUCCAUGCUGCUGUAGACAUUGACUCAUAGGCAGGAAGAUGUCACGGUACGCUUCUGUGUGGAAACAGAGAUUCGAGCUUGAAGUAGAAUUUUGCAAAUUUUUGCCUCAUUGGCGUCUUGGAAUGCCCACAAUGAGUGCAAUUUAAAUUGAUCUAAGUAAACUUCCAAACCCCCCACGGAAGAAGCCCUGAGCCACAGGGGAAGGUUUGCAACAGCCCUGACUAAAGUUUGCUUUCUUAGCUUGAGGGAAUCAAAGCAACUUCUUCCAGAGCAUAGCAGCCAAGGGGAAGGAAGGUGGGCCAAGGCGCAAGGCCUAGAAAAGGUGGUUUGAGGCUGGCAUCAUGUACCCGUCUGCCUACUAGGAUGGCCAUGUGUCCUAUUGUAUAGAAGACAGUCCUGUGAAGGGCCAUAGCUCGGUGGUAGAGCAUCUGCUUUGCAUGCAAAGGGUUGCAGGUUCAAUCCCUGGCAUCUCCAGGUAGGGCUGGGAGAGAACCCUAUCUGAAACCAUGGAGAGCCACUGCCAGUCAGUGUAAACAAUACUGAUCUAGAUGGAUCAGGAGUCUUGCUCAGUAUAAGGCAGCUUCCUGUCUCCCUGUGUCUUAUAUUUGGGCUAUGCAGUCCAAAUAUGGUUUAAAGAUUAAAAGACAUAAGGAGGGGGAGCAUGGGCAUGGAAGUCACCCAACCAUAAGUUAGCACAUGGCAAACUGAGCAGGCAGGUACACAGCUUACCUGGUCAAAGUCUUGUUCCCCACUAUGAUCCUCAGAGGACCUUAAGGUCCAGAAAUGACAACAUUUGGGAGGUCCCAGGUCGCAAGGUGGUUAGAUUGGUCUCAACUAGGGCCAGGGCCUUUUCAGUACUGGCCCCGUCUUGGUGGAACGCUCUGUCACAAGAGACUAGGACCCUGCGGGACUCGACAUCUUUCCGCAGGGCCUGCAAGACAGAGCUGUUCCGCCUGGCCUUUGGUUUGGACUCAGUCUGACCCUUAUGUUUCCCUCCCCUUAUGGUCUUGACCUAUCGGCUACUUUUAAAAUGAGGCUGCAUUUUAAAUUGCAUUUUAACCUGUAUUUUAAAUUGGUCCUGUCCCCCAUUACGUUUUUACUCUGAUUUUAUUGGUGUUAGCCGCCCUGAGCCUGGCUCUGGCUGGGGAGGGCGGGAUAUUAAUCAUCAUCAUCAUAGAAUCAUAGAAUUGUAGACUAGAGGACCCAAGGGUCCUCUAGUCCAGACCCCUGCAAUGCAGGAGCCUCAGCUAAAGCAGUCACAACAGAUGGCUAUCCAACCUCUGCUUAAGAACUUCCAAGGAAGGAGAGUCCACCACCUCCCAAGGGAAAUGUAUUGUAUUCUGCUGGGAUACCUUUUUGUUUAAGUUAAAGUUAUUGCUUCUAAAAGAAUCUGUGCGGGUGAUUUUAUGCAAAUCCACAUCCCCUUUUUGGUGACACUAACAGGCCUGCCAUACUGCCCAUUCUCCCUGUGGGUUGUUUUCAACAGAGCCGCUAAGCAACAUCCAAAGACACCAGUUAAACUGUGUGAAAUUCAGCAUCCUGCUCAAGUCCAUUUACAUAAAUGAUUGUUUUCUUUCAGCUUCAGUGUGUGACAAAUUAGCACCUAAUUAUGCUUCUUUUGGAAGAUGCCAAGAAUGAAAAGGUGUGUGUAUGUGGGAAGAAAGAUACUACUUUUCUGGAGCCAUUUUCUUGUUUCUGUCUUUCUUCCUGACACUGAUGAUGUAGCAGCUGCAUGAACCCUGACAAAAUGUGAAGGAAAACAGGAACUACCUUAUACCAAAUUAGACUAUUGGGAUGCCUGGCUCAGGAUUGUAUACCAUUCCUGGCAGUGGAACACCAGGCUUUCAGGGGGUGUUCCCUGCCUACCCACAGAUGCUGGGGACUUAACCUGGGAUCUUCUUCUGUGUGCAAAAGAGAUGCACUAUGUCAAAGCAAUGAUCCUUCCCCAAAUACGAGGGCUGUAUCAAAACCUGUCUUCUAUAGAAGGAGACCUCCAUGGGUGAGGAGUACUUGGAGACAGUGUUGGGGUCUUCGGGGGCCUCUCUGUGCAUUCCAAUGUAAUACCGGUCUGCUUUAGCGAAACACUAGAAGACCCUUCAGUCUACUAAGGAAAUUAAGGCUACAGAUUUUGCAUACCGUACCUGAAUCUAGAGAGCAACCUCAAAUUUUUCACAUUCUGAGGAUGUGUCUCACCUGUCAUUGCGGUGAGAAUGCAAUGACAAACUGAGAAACUCUCACGGCAUGUUCAGCCAUUCACAGAUUUUGGAGCACUACUGAGAUAAUGAGGAACCACCAUGGAAGAAGUGGACAAUCAGCUCUUCCUGUUAGCUAGGCCCCUUUACCUGGAGCAAGGCCUGCUAAUGAGUAAAGCACUGGCCAUGAACAGGAGUCUGCUUGUGGGUAGAGAGAGAAAUAGGAUAUGAAUCUUCUCUCCAGUUGAUGCUAAAGAUGUCCAAAGCUCUUAGUUUUCAAGGCACUAUUUCCUGGACAGGUUCUGUUGGAAUUAGGCACAGUAUUUACAUAACAAAUUUCUUUCAAUUGGGUUUACAGAGAAUAAUUUUUUCAUGGAUUAUAAUCCUUGUUUUUGAAGUCAGAUGGACCUAGUUGUAUAUAGCAUACCCUCCAACAUUUCUCCAAUGAAGAUAGGGACAUCCCAUUCCAUGAUUUUACUAUUUAUACGCCGCACAUCUUACUGGGUUGCCCCAGCCACUCUGGGCAGCUUCCAACAUAUAUAAAAACAUAGUAAAACAUUUAACGUUAAAAAACUUCCCUAUACAGGAUUGCCUUCAGACAGCCCAGGGGUCAGAUAACUUCAUACCCUCCAGCAUUUCUCCAAUGAAAAUAGGGACAUCCUAAGGAAAAGCGGGACAUUCCGGUAUUAAAUCAGAAAGCAGGAGGGCUUCUCUAAAUCAGUGUUGUCCCUGGAAAAUAGGGACACUUGGAGGGUCUGCUACAGUAAAUAGAUAAAUAUGUUUUAUCAUAGACUUGGCUUGCCAAUCUGAGGAUACUGUGGUAGUUGAUGUUCGCAGCACCUGAUAUUCAAAUGUGUGCUACUGCCUCAGAGAAAAAUAGGUGUUGGCUGGUACACGGAUUAGAAAAUUAGCUAUCCCCUGUAAGAUGAGAUGUCUAUCAGAACUUUGUAUUUAUUAUUUUGCAUAUUGAGAGCUCAAUGGUUUUGUCUACGUUUUUGCAAAUACCUUAAAGAGGAAAAGGAAGUCAAGGCAUUUUAACAUUAUGUUAGUUGAUGUUUGUACUUCAUUCCAACAGUUGUUGUUUUUUAAAGAUACUAUUGCAGAACAAUUAGGAAACAUAGAAUCAUAGAGUUGGAAGGGACAACAUGGGUCAUCUAGUCCAACCCCCUGCAAUGCAAGAAUAUUUUGCCCAAUGUGGGGCUCAAACCCAUCACCCUGAGAUUAAGAACCUUAUGCUCCAGUUAGGAAGAAGCAUAUCAAGUUGCAUCAUACUGAAUCAGACCAUGUCUACAUUAAUAGGCAACAGCUCUCUAGGUUUUCAGAUGGUGAGUCUCUUCAGGUCUAUUUCUAUACCUGGAGAUAAAUUUCACAGAAGGUAAUAAUUACAAUAAACUCAAAAUGAACACCUUUCAUCAUUUCCCCCACUAUAUUUUCUGCAGCAGAACAUUAGCGAGUGUUUUGUUCCUUGAUGCAGAGCCCACAUUAAUGGUAUAUUUUCCACUUGCACUUUAUUUCUUAUUCUGAAGCUGUUAUGAUUCCACCUAAUCAGCAACAAAGGAUCAAAAGCACAGGAAGGAGAGACAUAAAUAUUUAAAACCUUUACUUGCAAGCAGGAAAAGGCUGGCCAUUUUUUAAAAAGCAAGCCUGAAGCUCUGCUUGAGAUACAAAACUGCUCUGUUGAUCUUCGUUUGACAUUUUUAGGUUUAUAUAACAUGUGGCUCUAGCGGCUGUAUCUCUGGAGCCGAUCUGAAGCUUCACACUGUGGGUUGUCAGUAUGUUUUUAUUUCGGGUGGGGAGAGGGAAGGGAGAGCAAUGACUGCUUAAUUCGAGGAUGGGGAAAACCUAUGGCCUUCCAGAUGUUGUUGGGACUCCAACUCCCAUCAGCCCCAGGAAAGAAGCCAGAGCUGAUGGAUGUUCAGGUGGAAACUUUUCCAUUUAAUCGUUCAAGAAAUGACUUGGAAUCUAGCACCACCAUGAGUUCAGAAAGCAAAAGGCAGAUUGAGUACUUAACUAAAAUAGCACUCCAUUGUAAUUUGUGGGUCUCUUUUGCGAUAAGGUUUUAUUAUCUUUUCUAAACACAUAUUCACACAAGUAAUUCAUUCAGCAAUCAGGCUGCAAAUGUGUCGCUUUAAGAGGUUAAUGCUCUACUAACAAACAUUGAAUAAUGAUAUGCUUUGUAACCUAAACACGAUUUUCUUCUUGACACAUUUUUAUUCUGUGUGCAAAUCAACAAUCUGUAAGAACAAUGGAAAUGUUCCGAUGGAAAUGAUCCGGGUUGUGUUGUGAGUUUUAAUAUGACGUUCAGGGCCAGCCCUAAAUGGAUGCUGGGGUGCGGGGUGAGGAAUGACGUAAGAAUUGCAUGUGUCACAGAGACGGCUUUACACUCCCUAAACUAGCCUGCUGUCCUGUCACCAGUGUUGAAAUCAGAUUCAACUGGCAGUCUGGUUGGUUUCCAGAAGUGGAAUUAGGUGAGAGAGGACACCAUCUGUCUUUCGCCUGAUGCAGCAGCAUAUGACCCUGAUCAAAUUCCAGUGAUCUUAUUACCUAACAGACUCAAGCGAACUUUUAUUAAAUCACCAUAAACACUCUGACGCUUUGGCAUUGGCUUUAUUAUGAUAUGAUCUCUGCAUUCAUUUCAAUCCAACUUUUUAUUUGUGCUGUAAGCCGGGAUUGUAAAGGCUGUGAAUGUUUUGAGAUGAGGGUUAUAUAUACAGAUGUCUGAAGACCUAGAACAGGAUCUGGAUUACAAAUAAAAACACAAAUUUGUAUAAGAAGUGGAAGGAAAUUAAAGGAUAUUUAGAUAAAUUGUCUCUAUAGGGAAGGAUAUCCUUGAUAAAAAUGUCAAUUCUUCCUAAAAUGCUCUUUCUUUUUCAGACAGUCCCAAUAAUUAUUGGUACAAAUUGUUUUAAAGGCUGGCAAAGGGAGCUUUCUAAUUUUAUUUGGCAGGGUAAGAACCCAAGUCACACUCAGCUUAACAAAGUUUGAAUCCUCCCCUUGACUGGAAUCUUGUGCAGUCAAGGUUCCAGUCCACAUGAAGAUUUUAACCAUGUUCAACUGAAUAAGAACAUAAGAGCCCUACUGGAUCAAGUCAAAGGGUCAUCUAGCCCAGCAUCCGGCAUCCUAUUCUCAAAGUGGCUGGUAUCAUGGCUAGUAGCCAUUGGAAGUCUGGCCCUGCAUUCAUUUGUCUGGUGGCCAUCACUACAUUCUCCCCAUAAUAUUUUAUUAAAGCAUAUAUAUGUGUGUGUGUGUGUGUGUGUGUGUAUUAC
rnacentral:lncRNA from 1 species